GAUGAACGCUGGCGGCGUGCCUAAUACAUGCAAGUCGAGCGAACGGACGAGAAGCUUGCUUCUCUGAUGUUAGCGGCGGACGGGUGAGUAACACGUGGAUAACCUACCUAUAAGACUGGGAUAACUUCGGGAAACCGGAGCUAAUACCGGAUAAUAUUUUGAACCGCAUGGUUCAAAAGUGAAAGACGGUCUUGCUGUCACUUAUAGAUGGAUCCGCGCUGCAUUAGCUAGUUGGUAAGGUAACGGCUUACCAAGGCAACGAUGCAUAGCCGACCUGAGAGGGUGGCCGGCCCCAGGGGAAUGGAGACAGGUACCAGCCCCCAACGGGAGGCAGAGGUAGGGAAUCUUCCGCAAUGGGCGAAAGCCUGAGGGAGCACCGCCGUGUGGGGAAAGAAGUUCUUCUGAGCUAAAAACUCUUUAAUUGGGAAAAAACAUAUUUGAAAGAAAGUGUGCACUUCUGGAGGAGCCCUACUAAAAAGGCCCGGGCAAGGCCGGUG
rnacentral:rRNA from 1 species